AUUGAACGCUGGCGGCAUGCUUUACACAUGCAAGUCGAACGGCAGCACGGGCUUCGGCCUGGUGGCGAGUGGCGAACGGGUGAGUAAUACAUCGGAACGUACCCAGAAGUGGGGGAUGACGUAGCGAAAGUUACGCUAAUACCGCAUACGUUCUACGGAAGAAAGUGGGGGAUCGCAAGACCUCAUGCUUUUGGAGCGGCCGAUGUCUGAUUAGCUAGUUGGUGAGGUAAAGGCUCACCAAGGCGACGAUCAGUAGCUGGUCUGAGAGGACGACCAGCCACACUGGAACUGAGACACGGUCCAGACUCCUACGGGAGGCAGCAGUGGGGAAUUUUGGACAAUGGGCGCAAGCCUGAUCCAGCAAUGCCGCGUGAGUGAAGAAGGCCUUCGGGUUGUAAAGCUCUCUUGUCAGGGAAGAAACGGUAGAGGCUAAUAUCCUUUGCUAAUGACGGUACCUGAAGAAUAAGCACCGGCUAACUACGUGCCAGCAGCCGCAGUAAAAC
rnacentral:rRNA from 1 species